rnacentral:rRNA from 1 species
AUGGAUCUGGCCAUGGGGGCCAUGGGCUCCCUCCUCCACAAACUGCUCGAGGUCAUCAAGGACGAGUACAACCUACAGAAGGAAGUUAAGCAAAAGGUCGAGUCCUUCUCUGCUGAGCUGAAAGCUAUGCAAGCUGCCCUUGGCAAGGUGGCAGAGGUGCCGCGCGAUCAACUCGAAGACGAGACCAAGGUUUGGGCUGACGAAGUUAGGGAGCUGUCUUACGAAAUGGAGGAUGUCAUCGACUCUCUCCUGGUGCGUGUUGUGGGCUGUGACCCCAACCCCAGUGAUGAGCAGAACAGGCUCGAGAAGCUCUGGGUCAGCUUCAAGAAGCUGUUCAAAAGGGGCAAGGCAAAACAUCGGAUUUCCACAGAUAUUGAAGAGAUUGACAAGCAGUUGCAAAAAGUCGCCAUCCGACACGAAAGGUAUGAAACUCCUAAUCUACCUGCAGCCACAAGGGCCACCCUUGAUCCUUUCUUGGAGGUUCUCUAUGGAGAUAAGAAGAAUAUCAUCGGCCUAGAGGAAGCAAGGAACGAUAUUAUCAAGAAGAUCACUGAGGGUGACUGUAAGCAACUCAAGACACUCUCUAUUGUUGGAUUUGGAGGAUUGGGCAAGACUACGCUUGCCAAAGAAGUGUAUGAUGCCCUUGCAACAAAAUUUGGACACAAAGCUUUUGUGUCUGUGUCUCGGAAUCCCGACAUGAAGAAAGUAUUAAGCGAUCUCCUCUUUAAACUUGACAAGAAAAUACAUGCUAGUCAUAAUGCAGAAAAUUUGGCAGUAGAGAAGCUCAUCAUCCUAAUUAAAGAAUUUCUUAGCAACAAAAGGUACUUUAUAAUUCUCGAUGAUUUAUGGGAUAAAAAAGCAUGGAAAGAAAUCAGUUAUGCACUUACCGACGAUAAGUGUGGAAGUAUAAUAAUCACUACAACCCGCCAUGUUGAGAUCUCUAAGGAAUGUUGCUCUUCUAAAGAUGGUAUGAUUCAUAAGAUGAAAUCUCUCUCUGAUGAUGACUCGCAAAAACUUUUCUAUGGAAGAAUAUUUCUAAGUGAGGUGUGUCCUUCUCGGUUUGAGCAAGUAUCCAAAGAGAUUCUUGAAAAAAUGUGCAGGGGUACCAUUAGCCGUCAUUAG